AGCAAAUAGAUACCCAGGUAGUCCACGCCGUAAACUAUGGACACUAGGUGUGGGGGGUAUCGACCCCCUCCGUGCCGCAGCUAAACGCAAUAAGUGUCCCGCCUGGGGAGUACGGCCGCAAGGCUAAAACUCAAAGGAAUUGACGGGGGCCCGCACAAGCAGCGGAGCGUGCGGUUUAAUUCGUCGCAACGCGAAGAACCUUACCAAGGCUUGACAUGCUAGUGGUACUGAUCCGAAAGGUGAGGGACCCUUCGGGGAGCUAGCACAGGUGCUGCAUGGCUGCCGUCAGCUCGUGCCGUGAGGUGUUGGGUUAAGUCCCGCAACAGCGCAACCCCUGUUGCCAGUUGUAUUCUCUGGCGAGACUGCCCCGUAAACGCGGGGAGGAAGGCGGGGAUGACGUCAAGUCAGCACGGCCCUUACGUCUUGGCCACUCGCACGCUACAAUGGCCGGUACAACAGGUCGCGAAGGAGCGAUCCGGAGCU
rnacentral:rRNA from 1 species